AACGUGUCGCGAUGGAUGACUUGGCUUCCUAUUUCGNUGAAGAACGCAGCAAAGNGCGAUAAGGNGGNAUCAAUUGCAGAAUCAUUCAAUUACCGAAUCUUUGAACGCAAACGGCGCAUGGGAGAAGCUCCUCAGAGUCAUCCCCGGCAUGCCAUAUUUCUCAGUG
rnacentral:rRNA from 1 species